rnacentral:lncRNA from 1 species
AUGGCGGCUCACCGCUCCCGGCUGCUGAAGCAGGAGAAUAAAGCUCAUAAAGGCGGGCAGCACCAAGGCGGUGGGUCCGCACAACGGGACAGCAAAGGCCAGGUAGGACCGAAAAUCCUCUGCAAGAAGCUGAAGAGGCAGCUCAGUGGAGGCAUCGCGCCAGCCAGCUCCGAAAGCAAAAGAGGGAGUGGGUUCUGGCCGAGAAGAGGCAGCUGGGCAGCACAAGGAUGGGCCUCCGCAUCAGGUGCUGGUGGUGCCUCUGCACAGCAGGAUUUCCCUUCCGGAGGCAUUUAAACUGCUUCAGAAUGAAGACUUGGGAACGGUGUAUUUGAGUGAACGGGGAAGCACCCAGAGUUUUAUGCUUCUGUGCCCUAGCUUGAAACAUCGAUGGUUUUUCACAUAUGCAAGACCAGGGGAUCUGCAUACUCUGUUAGACAUGG